UACGAAGGGGGCUAGCGUUGCUCGGAAUUACUGGGCGUAAAGCGCACGUAGGCGGUUUCUUAAGUCGGGGGUGAAAUCCUGGAGCUCAACUCCAGAACUGCCUUCGAUACUGGGAAACUUGAGUCCGGGAGAGGUGAGUGGAACUGCGAGUGUAGAGGUGAAAUUCGUAGAUAUUCGCAAGAACACCAGUGGCGAAGGCGGCUCACUGGCCCGGUACUGACGCUGAGGCACGAAAGCGUGGGGAGCAAACAGG
rnacentral:rRNA from 1 species